ensembl:lncRNA
GCCGGUGGAUCUUCUGAAACAAAACUAGUUUAAUGCUGCUCUUGUAGAAAUGGUUGCUACUGAUUUACACUCUUUUUCAAUAGUUCAAGACAGGGGAUUCAGGAAAUACAGAAAGACACUGUACUACAGUAUGUUCUAUCCAGUAGGACUACCAUCUCCAGGAAAAUCACUCCAAAGCGUUUGGAAAAGAUCAGAAAAAAAAAAAAUUUAAGUUGAAAAGGAAAAGUUUUGAGUAAGGAACAGAAGCUUUCAAUUUACAGUGGUCUAUUCAUUUUAACCCUUCUGUUCCUCACUGAAAACCUUCCUUUUCUACUUUUUUAGAAAGGAAAGAAAAAGGUGCAGUGGUCUCUUAUUCCGGAGCUGUAGAAACAUUUUUAAAAUGCCCCAGCAGUGUGUCUCACUACAGACUGCUGGACAUCAAUGCCAACAACCAGCUAUAUGUCCAUCACAUGCCACUACUUAGAACACUUUAAAUUGUCCUCUCACCUCCUGGACUGUUUUUACUGAGAGGCACACUGCAACUCACCUAGCAAGUGAACUGACAAGAGUAACAGAUUUUUAUUUUGCUAACUGAAAAUAAGUCAUUUUUAAUGAUGACUUUACAACAACGGUAUUACAAUACGUAUUUAUGUAUUUUUACAGAUUUGUGACAGCAUCCAAAGCCAUUCUAAUGGCAAAAGGCCUCCAGAGGAUUAUGGCAAGGAGGCAAAGGACACCCUCCAUCCAUGAGCCAAUCCAGAAAUUGGUCAACUGCUUGGCCAAUCAGCUCAACAGUCACUUUGGCAGUGUGGAGUUUGAUGGGAGAUUGGCAGAUGCAAACCUUUUGGACCCUAGGUUAAAAAACAGGCAUUUGUUAACAUCCAAGCCGGGGAUGAAGCUGUGAAAAGGGUAAGAGCAGCUGCAACAAGUGCCCAUCUCAGCACAAGUGGGGGGCUAGUUUCUGGGAAGACUUUGAUGAAAGAGUGGCCAGCAGGAGAGCCAGACCUACUUCAAGAAACACCAGCUCUGAGGCCAUGACAGAAAUAAGGGCUUACCUGGCCGAGCCCCUUAUCCCCCGGACAGAUGAUUCUCUGGCAAGGUGGAAAACACGUGCAGAUGUGUAUAAUCUCUGUGAAAUUAUGAAGCACAGGCUUUGCAUUGUAGCGACAUCUGUUCCAUCAGAAUGGAUUUUCUCCAAAGCUGAACAAAUUGUGACAGAGGAGAAACAGGCUCAGUCCAACAAAGGACAUGCCUUUGGACCAAUGGGAAUGGGGAGCCAUGUCCUUGUGGACCAAUGGGAUUGGGCUGGGACUUGUUUUGGCACUCUACUUCCCUAGAUAAGCCAGAAGAAACGAGAGCAAGAGAGAUUGGAACCAACAGGAAAUAUACCUCGUGGAGGCAGGAGAGCAAGGAACGAGAAGAGAGGAUGUGUCGCUAGCACCCUGGACAACCUGACCUCCCCGAGAGCCAGCUGACCGAGCCAGGACGACUGCGAAGCACAGCAACACUUGGAGCACAAAGGCGAACCCCAUUCACACCCUGGGAUAGUAGGGUGGCGCCACCUGCUCCUCAGGGAAAUUGGCACUAUUGACAUCUGGAGCCACUAGGACUGAGGGUCAGUGGAGGAGGACGUGGCCCCGUAGAGGAAUCCGCAAACACACUCCCAACAAAGCGACACCCUGAAGAGUUUUAUAUUUUUAGCUUAGUAUUAAUAAGGUUUGUUAUAUUUUUCCUUAUUCCAGCCUCUGCCUCUUAUGUAACUCCUCCGCCUCUCUCCCACUGAAAAAGAACUGGGUUUAAAUUACAGUAUUUUAGUAAUUAUGUAUUAGAGUUCCUGGGCACUUCAAUAUCCAGGUGUUAUUGUCGGGCAGCUUAAUUAAUUAUUCCACCAGUAGAGCCCUUCACAGCUACAGUUCACACGUCUGUGUUACUAUUUUAUUGCAAUGUAUGUACUUGUAAUUAUUUUGAAGCACUGACUGGAGUUUUUGUGAAUUGUGAAUGUUAAACUGUGUGAUGUGAAACAACCAAAGACUUUCUAUAAAACAUCUGUGUAUAUUUUGUUGAAUAAUUAAUACAAUAAACCUGCA